GGGAGAUACCCCUCAACAGGCUUCCUGUCGGUUAUAUUUGCUCUUCACAUCUGCGAUGAGGUGGACCUUUACGGCUUCGGAGCCGACAGCAAAGGGAACUGGCACCACUACUGGGAAAAACAACCCAUCAGCCGGGGCUUUCCGCCAGACGGGUGUCCACGACGGGGAUUUUGAAUCCAACGUGACGUUGACUCUUGCCUCGGUCGACAAAGUACGCUUUUUCAAGGGCAGAUGACCCCGGUCACGGGGAGCGCUGUGAUUUCUGACUUACGGGGAAUACAGAGACACUUGCCGAAACGAAAGGGGUCUCGGAGUUGACUGUAUCUCACGCCUUAGCCGACAAAGCCAGGAACGACAGCCGGGUUGCAGUUUGCAAGCGGCAUUGCUGGGUUCCCGAAUUUUCUUUACCAACGUUUGAAGGAUGUGGGAGGAUUCCUCUUCCUGCUUCGUCACUCUCCCUUUCGUGAGACAUUUCCACUCUGUAAAUCUUGCCUUGUGCAAGUUAAAGGAAGCAAAAGUUAGAUCCUGACCCCUAACCCCCUUUCGUCUUUCUGAGAAUGCAUAUCUUGAGCUUUCAUUUUCUCUGGGACCGAAAACACUUGCGGAAGAGAUGCUGGAUUUCAUUCCUGACAACAGUGGAUGUGAAACACCCUCUCCGUUCACAAAUUACCUCAAAAAGGAGCUAAUUCUGUUUUUUAUCUUCUCCUAGAAGCAGCAUUCUUGCAAGACCUCUGAGCUCCCAUACUGCAUUAUGAUCAAGUGUGCAUUUGUCACCAGCCGGCAAAAAUUGGCACCAGCUUUAGCUGAGAUUCCUGCAUUGCAGGGGGUUGGACUAGAUGGCCCUUGGGGGUCCCUUUCAACUCUAAAAUAUUAUGAUUCUAUUAUUCCAUUUGCCAAGAGCUGGGAAUUUUGAAUGAAACACUUUCCAGUUAUUACUGUGGAUUCCCCCCCCCCCCGUGUGAAAUGUAUUUGCUCUUCUUCAUAGCCAUAAUUAAGGAGGGAAAAGAUUGGGGGGGGGGUUGAAAAUGAAGAUAUAAGAAGCUGGAGUAAACUAGUCACUAUUGUUUACCUUUUAAAAAUGUCUUUCUCGCCGCUUCUGAGCUUUCGACUCUGCUACCAAUCAGAGAAAUGAAGUUAUUUUUAUAUCUAUAUAAAUUUUUGUCAUUGACAUGUGCCUUUCUGAAAUAUCAAGAAUACAAAAGGGAGAGUCGUUCUGGCUUGUUCGGCUCUCACCGAGACUGAAAUCCCUCGAUUAAACCUUUUUUACAUAUAUAUAUAUAUAUAGGGAAAUAACUGACCAAAGUUCAACGCUACUUACCGUCAUCAGUUUUUUUUAUCGACAGCUUUCUUCAGUCUACUUGAAAGGUUCGCGAGCAACAGUCAGGUUUCAGUUUUGUUUUUGAGAGAGAGAAACGUUUUUGCCUUAUUUUAAAAGAAUGUGGGGGUUUUUUUUAUUAAAAAAUAAGAUUAUUAUUUUUUUUUUUUGGCUUCUAUUUUUGACUGCUGUGGUAGGUGGCUCCUGUGUGAAAUUGUCCUGAAGUGGAAGGAAAUUGUCUCCACCUCAGGAGGAUAUUGUUCAAGGGCUACAUCGGAGGAGUGAGCAGAAUCAAGAUGUGAGAUCCAUGGCCAGGGAAUGAGAUUACUUGGGAGUCAGUCCCCAGCGAACUCCAUACAGCUUACUUCUGAGCAGGCAAGCAUAGGAUCGCACCGUCAGGGACCUUAUAAAGAAUGAAAAGAGGAAGGGAUGAUCUCCACAGUUGACAAGGCCCUUAAGCGAAGGUGAUGGGAAGAGAUUAGGCUGGAACGUUGUGGAAAGCAUCCUCUUCUGGAGAAUGAAGAGAGGGGAAGCCGUCCUUAACGAAGCAUUUGCCACAGGAACUAAUUGUGAGACUGUUAGGAAGACGGCCGUGUGGCGGUUUCAAGAAAACAGUGGUGGGCAGAUCCACGUUAAAGUCGCCUCGUGCCGCUGGUCGUGGGACCUCUUGAGGGGACGUUGGGGGGGGGGGGUCAGAGUGAUUCUUUGUGCUGAAAAUCCAGAUGGAUAUGCUACCUUCUUAUUUCCUUUUUUAAAAAAAUAAAAUAGUGCGUAUCUAUUUUAAUUGUCGCUAUAAAACGGAGAGAGACACCCUUUCUGAAAACCUCUCCGAAAGAUCUCGUGCAAGGCUUUUUAGUUCUCACGGGCAACCAACACCUGAGGAUAAACACAGUUAUUAUUUUUAAAUAAAUAAGAAUGCAUAAACCAGCUGUAUUUCAGCAGGAAGGAGACGACGUGGGGGUCAGGAUGGUUGCUUUUUCCUCAAAACGAAAGCGGCCAGAUUUAAGGACGCCUUUUGAAAACUUGCCAUUUGACCCUUAGCCCCAGUGGGUUGUGGUAAUGAAUUUCACAGCGCAGGGGUAGUUCGAAACCUGUUCGAAAUGAGUGCCGCAGCAAGGAUAUUAUUGUCUGCCCCAGAAUUGUUUAGAUUCCCUGGUAGGGUUGCCAGUUCCUUUUGCCCGCCUCUGCGCCUGUGCCUUUCACGGCAACAUGAUCUGCAAGCGGCUAAUUCUUACCUCCACAUUGUGGGAAGUGUUGCCUGCAGAUCAGGGUCGCUGCUCAAAAUGCACAAGAGCAGGCCAGACUGCCCCCAUUAAUUGGCAACCCUAUUUUACAGACUGGAAAUAAUGUUGUUUUUUUCAACAUCGUACUCUGAGCUUAUAGGGUCGGAACAACAUCCAAAUAAAUCAAUUUGUAGUUAGCACCCGAGGAGGACUGAACUCACACGCACUUGAUAUGCAUGUGAAUGAUUCUAGUUUCAGUCCCUGAUAUCCUGUCCCACCCCCUUUAAAA